rnacentral:misc_RNA from 1 species
UCAAUGUACAGUUUUGACUUUCCUACCAUUUUAUUAUAUGUAUAGAUAUCAAGUGUACACGACCAUACGACAAUAAAUGAAAACACAGGUCGUAUUGGUAUAUAGAAAUAUCAUAAAACUAUCAGAAAAUAUUUUGAACCGUUUUUGAAAAAAUGAAAUUUUCGAACAAACUUAAUAUCGUAAAUUAAUAAAAUACAUAGUACGCCAUUUGUAAUUUAGAUUCACUGACCUCUGACUAAAGGCG